rnacentral:tRNA from 1 species
GUGCCCGUAGCUCAAUUGGAUAGAGCAUCCGCCUUCUAAGCGGACGGUUGCAGGUUCGAGUCCUGCCGGGCGCGCCA